GCCUUGUUGCAGCCGAGAAAGCAACAUGGGGCACCAGCAGCUUUACUGGAGCCAUCCGAGAAAAUUCGGCCAGGGUUCUCGUUCUUGCCACGUCUGCUCAAACCGGCACAGUCUGAUCCGGAAAUACGGCCUCAAUAUGUGCCGCCAGUGUUUCCGCCAGUACUCGAAGGACAUCGGCUUCAUUAAGUUGGACUAAGUGUGAACUUCUUGAAUGGGUCAUCACGCAUAUCUACCUUCCUCAGAAACAAUACUAACUCUUCGUAUAUAAAAUAAAAAUUUUUAAACUUCAAAAA